rnacentral:rRNA from 1 species
ACGGGUGAGUAACACGUGGGCAAUCUGCCCUUCACUCUGGGACAAGCCCUGGAAACGGGGUCUAAUACCGGAUAUCACUUCCACUCGCAUGGGUGGGGGUUGAAAGCUCCGGCGGUGAAGGAUGAGCCCGCGGCCUAUCAGCUUGUUGGUGAGGUAACGGCUCACCAAGGCGACGACGGGUAGCCGGCCUGAGAGGGCGACCGGCCACACUGGGACUGAGACACGGCCCAGACUCCUACGGGAGGCAGCAGUGGGGAAUAUUGCACAAUGGGCGAAAGCCUGAUGCAGCGACGCCGCGUGAGGGAUGACGGCCUUCGGGUUGUAAACCUCUUUCAGCAGGGAAGAAGCGAAAGUGACGGUACCUGCAGAAGAAGCGCCGGCUAACUACGUGCCAGCAGCCGCGGUAAUACGUAGGGCGCAAGCGUUGUCCGGAAUUAUUGGGCGUAAAGAGCUCGUAGGCGGUCUGUCGCGUCGGAUGUGAAAGCCCGGGGCUUAACCCCGGGUCUGCAUUCGAUACGGGCAGACUAGAGUGUGGUAGGGGAGAUCGGAAUCCCUGGUGUAGCGGUGAAAUGCGCAGA